rnacentral:misc_RNA from 1 species
GAGGAGGCCAGGGACAGGAAGGAGAGGGGCGUGGCAUGGGAAACUAAGAAUUUCCAUGAGGUAGGAGAACACUGGGUGUAUGACCGACCUUUACAAAAGAGGCUGAGGAAUCCAUCCCCAGUCUCCAGCGGCUCUCACACACCCAGCAGUUAGAGUCGGACCCAGCGGUUCUCACACACCCAGCAGUUAGAGUCGGACCCAGUGAUUUCUGUGUCCAUCUCAUCAACACUUCAUGAAGAGUUACCCCCAGUGAUUUUAGAUUACAAUUACAUGUAUUUACUGCAUAAAUCAAAGCAUCAGUGUGUGGAGGAUGGUAGAACCAGAGAUCUGAGAGAGGGGAGCUAGCGUGGCUGUGAUAUUCACUGUAAUGUGGAUUUUCAUUUCAUUUCCUUCAAUGUUACCACCAGAAUGUUCAACAAAGAAUGCUAUGGUGAUAGCUGUAUAAACAAAACAAAAAAAUAGCACCUGUUGAAAAGACUGUCUGUUCGAAUCUUAUCUGAAGUUUUAAGGACCAAUUUGAUACAAUAUAUGACAGAUACAUGUAUAAAUCUUUGUUCCUCUUUUGAAUUUGAUUUUUUUAAAGGAAAGUAUCUUAUAAAAUGAAAGCGAAUAACUUGUUUAAUUUGAUUUGUAACAAAAUCUGCUGCUGCAAUAUUUACUUAUCUACAAGUCAUUGAAUGAAUGGACUAUACAUGCAUAUAGCUUCCAAUGCAACAAUUAAUGAUUGUACAUUUUUGUUUUUAUUAUAUAAAAAUAUAUUUGUAUAUA